rnacentral:lncRNA from 1 species
GAGCAUGGCAGGGAGGUAGUGACAUCCCUCCCCGCUGCCCCCCUAGAGGCCGGGAGCACCUCCGUUCCCAACUGUGACAGCCAAAAAUGUCCCCAGACGUUGCCCAUGUCCCUGUUUGGGAAACACUGGGGUACAAGCAGGGGACAUCAGAGGUCACAGAGCACGAGGAAGAACACAGUGAUCUCAGACCCCACCAAGAGACCGGAGUCAACUCCGGAACGUUCUGCUGGUUUUGUCUGCCUCUCGCUCCACCUGCUGCGUGAGUUCAGGAAGCCCUCGCCUUGCCGAGUUGAUGCCUUCAAUCGCAGACGACGUCACAGUCAAAAGAACCAAAACUGUGUGUUCAGCAGGCACGAAGAAACCAGUGUGACCACAGCAUACAGGGAGAAGACUAUGGAAACAUGUUGGGAUCAUCUUCUGAAGACCAUUGAGACCAGGCUGAAGAGUAUGUGUUCAAUAAGGACAGCCCUUGGAGUCUUUAUGGCAAUGAAAUGUCUCAAGCCACCAUGUAGGGAGACUGAUCCGGCAGCAAUGAGAAACAUGGGUCAACUAGUUGUUUUGAAGAUGCUACAAGGGACAGCUUAUUUCAUGAUACUGGGAAUCAACAGUGAACGGAAAUACUCAAAGAGGAGGUCCGAGCCGAGCAUAUAACAGAGCACAUCUCGCAGGGAGAAAAUCAAACAGCUAAUGCGAGUAUUUUGUUGUUUGUUGUUUCUGCUUUCUAUCACCACCCGGGAGAAUGAUCUUUUCCAAACAUGUGUCUGAUCUUGCCAUUUCUCACUUAAUACAUUUCAGGAACUCCACACCACCCACGGGAGGGAACUCAGACACCUGGCCCAGGCCAUCAGGGCAUAGGGCCCAGCUCAUAAUUCUGGGAUUCCCUCAUCUACAUACCCACACUAACCACAUUACUCUUAAUUACCAAAGUAUAUCCUAGUGUUUUCGCUUGGAUUCACUCUUACUGUUCUCUCUCCUAGAAAUAUCUCUUCCACUUACCAUCAGAAUUUGUCACUCCCUUUAUUUAUUUUCAUUAUGCACUUUGUUUACAGGUCGGUUAUUACCUCAAAUUGCAAAAGGUUCUUUAUGUAGUAACUAUAUCUACUUUAUUGUGGAGAUUAUGUCUUAUUUAUCUUUAUCUCUGGAUCCUAUCACAGUGUCUAGUUAGCUGAGAGGUGUUCUGGGAAUAUAUACAGGAAGAAAAAAAUGGAUGGGUGAAUGGAUGGAUGGAUGGAAUGAUGGAUGGAUUGAUGGAUGGACGGGUGGAUGAAUAAAUGGAUGGAGGGAUAGAUGAGUUGAAAAUAA